UCCCACACCUUGUACUGCAGCAAACCACUGCCUGCUGUGCACAACGGGCUAUUUAUAGGAAAGCCCCCUGUGGGUGGGGUCUGUUGUGACUUAGUGGGGUCUAUUGUGACUUAGCGGGGUCUGUUAUGACAGAGUGGGCCUAACACAUACACACACACACACAGUUACAUGGAGGGUGGCCACCAAGCUGUGCUAGAAGCACAGACCAGAUAUGAAGGCCGAAGGACCAAGAGGUCAAAGGGUCUCCUUCAGCUCCACCUCCUCGAGGCUCUCCUGGACAACCCUGGGGGAAAAGCCCGAGCAGCCUCUCCUUCUGGUGUCCCAGCACAUCUCAGCUCAGGCACCAACAGGGUUUCCAGCUUUAACAGGGCCCAGAACAGCUCACUGCUGCUGGAGCUAGAGGAAAACAAGGACGCCUUUUGGCGCUUGCUCUCUGCGUGAUCUCAGAGCGGUGAAGAUGCCACGGGAGACACAGCCCGUGUGGAGCGUGCGAGGUGUGGGCAGCGGGGAACGGGGUUGGGGGGGGCAGCAGAAACCAGGGGGUGCGUGCAUGGCUUGGUGUCCAGCUGCCACCACAGCACCUUUGGAAGCAGCUCUCUGAGCCUUGAGCCAGCCUUGUUUUACAAGCGUGAGGUCUUCCUUGUGUUAUUUCAGGCACCAUUUGCUGAGGCACAGCUGGGGUCCAAAUAGCCGUAUUUACAACCAAAUGCAAAUCUGCCGAGCCUCGCUGCACACAGGCACUGCACACACAUCUACUGGAGUGUGGUGGGAGGAGAAACGGGUCGGUGACUCACUCCCCGAUUUGCAUUGCUUAAUGUGAGACAUGUGUGCCGCAGCAGCAUCUGUGCCUCCCUCCUCAGCGCAUCCACCCUGCCUGCAGACACACGACAGCUCUGCUGGCUUCUGGUGGCUCUCACAGGAGAAGAUCAGAGGGUUCAUUUGAGGCCGUCUAGACUAUUUAAAACAUACUACUCCGUUCCUUUAUGUUACAGCAGCUUAGGAAAUGCUGCUGCCCCAUCCCUUCGCAGCACAGCAGCUGUGGGCUCAGGAGCUCGAACACAGCUUGAAAGCAUUGCAUCAACUUCACUGGCUUCCCUCAGGCCUCUAUCUCUGCUUGCUUCACACUGAUCAAAGCCAAGGGAAGGAAGAACAGCACAAACAGUUUGGAAAUGCUGGAUAUUCCUCCAGUUUCCACAUGACCGCUUUGGACUUGUCUUCUUGGUUUUCAUAACUCUCCAUGGACUCAACCAUUGGUUUCAUUCCUCAGUGCUUGGCCUCUUCCCCCCCUGCCCCACGACUCCUUGCAGCCGAGGGUCACUGGAGCUGCCGAGCCUCCCCAGGACCCCAUCCCCAUUCCCAACCCAUGAGUCACUUCCCCUCAUCAAACCUCACCUUUCA